rnacentral:rRNA from 1 species
UGAGGAAUAUUGGUCAAUGGGCGAGAGCCUGAACCAGCCAAGUAGCGUGCAGGAUGACGGCCCUAUGGGUUGUAAACUGCUUUUAUGCGGGGAUAAAGUGCGCGACGUGUCGUGCAUUGCAGGUACCGCAUGAAUAAGGACCGGCUAAUUCCGUGCCAGCAGCCGCGGUAAUACGGAAGGUCCGGGCGUUAUCCGGAUUUAUUGGGUUUAAAGGGAGCGUAGGCCGUUUGGUAAGCGUGUUGUGAAAUGUAGGAGCUCAACUUCUAGAUUGCAGCGCGAACUGUCAGACUUGAGUGCGCACAACUUAGGCGGAAUUCAUGGUGUAGCGGUGAAAUGCUUAGAUAUCAUGAAGAACUCCGAUUGCGAAGGCAGCUUACGGGAGCGCAACUGACGCUGAAGCUCGAAGGUGCGGGUAUCGAACAGG